rnacentral:lncRNA from 1 species
UUGCCACAUUCAACCUCUCCCUCGACCUUCUAAGGCCCAGUUCCUCUCUUGUGGGCUCAAUUCACCUACAGUUUUCUAGAAGAUAACUUCUUCCAUAAAUGGCUUCUCUUAAAGUGAUGAAAGAUGACAGAAGUGGAGGUGAGGGGCACACACAUGGCAGGUUGCUGAGUGGACAAUGUGAGGUGAAGUGAGGGCGACAAGUGCUGGAGGGGCAGGGGUUUGCUGGGCAUGACCCGCCAGCACCUGGUAAUUAAAAUUGCUAAUGAGAAGCAAUUACGCUGCCAGGCUUCCUCUGGCUGGCUGCGCAGUUUGACCCUUCCACGGGAAGAAAGAAGAAGAAGAAGAAGAAGAAGAAGAGAAAAUGCCGGCUAUCUCGCGACCAAGGCAGCGCUGAGGAGACCCCGCCCUCCGCGGCACGCGGGAAAUACGAAGGAAAGGACUUAAGGACCGAGUAAGUGUGUGUGUGUGUGUGUGUGAGAGGACGAGAAAUUGGUAUGUAUUCCCAUCUCUCGUCGCUUUGUUUUAAUGUAAAAUUCUCUCCUUAUGGUCAUUUUCUUUGUGAGCAGGGUGUGAAGUUCAGCAGGAGCAACCUGCCGGCCGGAGACGUGGGCCUUGUGUCACCAGCAGACCGGGGACUGGAAGGGCGGAAGCCUCAGAAACCCAGAAGGAACUUGAAGUUUUUGGGCUCAAGGCAAAACCCGAGACUCCCCUGUGUACCCUCUCAACUCCCUACACCCAAAUGAUUGCUGAACAGAACUGGACCUGGAAAAGGAGAAAGCAUGGUUGUAACUCUUGUAAGUAAAUAUCUUUGCUAAGGUGCGAAAAAUAGCCCUAGCAGCAU